rnacentral:rRNA from 1 species
CAGUAGCCGCGGUAAUACAGAGGGUGCGAGCGUUAAUCGGAUUUACUGGGCGUAAAGCGUGCGUAGGCGGCUUCUUAAGUUGGAUGUGAAAUCCCUGAGCUUAACUUAGGAAUUGCAUUCGAUACUGGGAAGCUAGAGUAUGGGAGAGGAUGGUAGAAUUCCAGGUGUAGCGGUGAAAUGCGUAGAGAUCUGGAGGAAUACCGAUGGCGAAGGCAGCCAUCUGGCCUAAUACUGACGCUGAGGUACGAAAGCAUGGGGAGCAAACAGGAUUAGAUACCCCUGUAGUCCCUGUCUCUUAUAC